UAAGAGCGAAUGGUGGAUGCCUUGACUGGUAAAGGCGAUGAAGGACGUACUAGACUGCGAUAAGCUACGGGGAGCUGUCAAGAAGCUUUGAUCCGUAGAUUUCCGAAUGGGGCAACCCAAUGUAUAGAGAUAUACAUUACCUAUAUAGGAGCGAACGAGGGGAAUUGAAACAUCUUAGUACCCUCAGGAAAAGAAAUCAAUAGAGAUUGCGUCAGUAGCGGCGAGCGAAAGCGCAAGAGGGCAAACCCAGUGCUUGCACUGGGGGUUGUAGGACUGCAAUGUGCAAGAGGUAAGUUUAGCAGAACAUUCUGGAAAGUAUAACCAUAGAGGGUGAUAGUCCCGUAUGCGAAAAACAAACCUUAGCUAGCAGUAUCCUGAGUAGGGCGGGACACGAGGAAUCCUGUCUGAAUCCGGGUCGACCACGAUCCAACCCUAAAUACUAAUACCAGAUCGAUAGUGCACAAGUACCGUGAGGGAAAGGUGAAAAGAACUGAGGUGAUCAGAGUGAAAUAGAACCUGAAACCAUUUGCUUACAAUCAUUCAGAGCCCUAUGUAGCAAUACAGGGUGAUGGACUGCCUUUUGCAUAAUGAGCCUGCGAGUUGUGGUGUCUGGCAAGGUUAAGCAAACGCGAAGCCGUAGCGAAAGCGAGUCUGAAUAGGGCGCUUAGUCAGAUGCUGCAGACCCGAAACGAAGUGAUCUAUCCAUGAGCAAGUUGAAGCUAGUGUAAGAACUAGUGGAGGACUGAACCCAUAGGCGUUGAAAAGCCCCGGGAUGACUUGUGGAUAGGGGUGAAAGGCCAAUCAAACUUCGUGAUAGCUGGUUCUCUCCGAAAUAUAUUUAGGUAUAGCGUUGUGUCGUAAUAUAAGGGGGUAGAGCACUGAAUGGGCUAGGGCAUACACCAAUGUACCAAACCCUAUCAAACUCCGAAUACCUUAUAUGUAAUCACAGCAGUCAGGCGGCGAGUGAUAAAAUCCGUCGUCAAGAGGGAAACAACCCAGACUACCAGCUAAGGUCCCUAAAUCUUACUUAAGUGGAAAACGAUGUGAAGUUACUUAAACAACCAGGAGGUUGGCUUAGAAGCAGCCAUCCUUUAAAGAAAGCGUAAUAGCUCACUGGUCUAGUGAUUUUGCGCGGAAAAUAUAACGGGGCUAAAGU
rnacentral:rRNA from 1 species